GGCAGGGCCGUGCACUGUGCUGCGCUUUGCCAGCUAGAGCGGGUGCGCAGGAGUGGAGAUGCUGGACUCUUUCACGGGUUCUGUCUGAGGUUCGGCUGCUCUGCCCAACACAGGUCCAAUGGUUAGCCGGCUCCUGCCAUCUUUGAAGUAUAGUAUGCGUCGAUUUUGCUAAAUAAAUCUCACUUUCUAUGGUCCCCAUCUGCAUCUAUGGAUGAAUUCUUUCUUCAUUGGACCACGGACCUGCCAGACCCCUGGGUACCUCUUCAGUCAUCCAUAAGCUUCCACCCCAGGAAUGAUUGACAUCGCAUGUGGUCCGGAGACCACAAGCAGCAAGGAUGGUGGAGAGAAACAGUGAUACCUCGAGUCAAAGGGUGUUUGCUUUUCCGUGGAGAUGGUUAAAGAAUUCAACAGACACAGAAUGGCAUCGGCCUGCUUUGCAUCCAAGAGCCACAGAAAAGCUGCUUACAGCCCAGACCAGCCACGGGAUGAUAUGAUGCCACGGCCCAGCAGCCAUAGGAAUUCUAGGGCCACAGGUCAGAAUUUCUGACACCUGAAUCACCUGCUGGGGAUUUUCAGUUUUAUUUGGUAGUGUCUGUGUGACUGGUCUUUCUUCAAUGCAAGGACAUUCCUUAGUUAGCCACAGAACUCCACAUAUGGAAACAUCCUCCCAGGUCAUAGUACAUUUUGUCUGCAGGUGCUUCAUCAGGGCAUGCUUCUGAAUGGAGCUUGGGGGGGGGGGGACUUUGAACUUCUGGAGGGGAGCUGCCAAGGAAGGGGCUGUGCCUGGGGACAAAGCCCAAUUUUCUAUGGUUGGAUUAAGCCAGAAGAACCUGUUUCUCUGGAAUGUGGGAUGGCCUUGAUGGGCGGCUGUGAGAAGUUGUUUGCCCCACUGGUUUGGGACUGGUUUUUUUAUUGUCCUUGUUUUUUGUUUGUUUUGUUUUGUUUUUUAAUCUGGGGCCUUUCCGGCUCAGGAAUUUAGAAAACUAGUUCCUCAUCCCUGAUGAGCAGCCAGCCAGUCUCUCCCAAUCCUCCCUGAGAGCCUGUCAGCGACUCCUUCGCCUAUGUAUUUUUACUUUAUCAUUUAUACUUUAUGUGUGUGCUUUGUGAAUGUAUACAAAGAAUGUGGAGGUGAUGGCAGGGGUCAGAAGAGGGAGACAGGUUCCUUCCCCCAAGUCAGCUUGGAGUUGUCAGCCUCCUGGUGUGGACACUGGGCCUCUGGAAGAGUAGCAGGUACUUUUAGCCACUGAGCCAUCUCUGUGGACAAGAUGGAAGAUGUCACUUGCUCAAGGUGACAUAGUAAAGACUCAGUACUGGACAUGGACCGACGCUUGGAAUUUUGAUUCUGUUAGGUCCAAAGUGUGCUCCCCUUUCCCCCCUGCCCCCCCCCCACAGUGGCAGUGCUUUUGACAGUGUCCUUGUUGGGGUAAUCUUUUUGUAUACUGUGUAAAGGUUGUCUUUAUAUUGUUCAAAUGUUGAUUUCUGAACCAACAGAGAGCUGAGUACUGUCCA